UGGCCCAGUGGAGACAGUGUCCGACCCAAAGACUUGGCAAGAGCUGGUUUCUUCUACGUGGGCACGGAGGACCGAGUACAGUGUGCCUUCUGUGAGGGGGUAUUAAGGAAUUGGGAACUAGGUGACCAACCAAUACAGGAACACCGCAAAUAUCUUUCCACAUGUCCGUUCGUAUUAGGACUGGAAGUCGGGAACAUUCCUGUGGAAGAACCAGGCACAGCUCUUCCUCUUGCUGUGUCGGAAUCACAAAGUCACGCUGUGGGAGGCAGCGCAACAGGAUCCGAGAAUGCCACAACUGGACCCACACUGGGAAUACUAACAGCGAGACCUAGACACGAGAGAUACGCCACUGAACACGCCAGAGUUCAGACCUUUGUUAACUGGCCGCCAUCUCGUAUUCCGUGCCCUGAAACUCUUGCCAGUGCCGGGUUUUUUUACGCUGGCUUUGGUGACAACGUGAAAUGUUUCUUCUGUGACGGUGGACUAAGGAAUUGGGAACCUCAAGACGACCCUUGGGUCGAGCAUGCGCG